CUGAACAACCAGCAUCACACUCUGAGAGAAAAUGCAGAUAUGUUUUGAGCAAGAGGAAGAACGAGGAAACAGCAGGAUGACUGAGGAUGGAUUUCUGUCUUUCGCUGUAUACCCAUCUCUGUGGCAGCCUCUCCUGUUUACCAUACUUCAGUAAAAGCCCAGGGCCUGAAUCUUCCUCUUCCCCAUGGUGAUGCGAGGGACCAGAAGGCAGGCAUCCUGCUGGAGCUGAACCAGGCCGUU